CCCCUCCCAUCAUUACUGUCAGUACCUGGAUUUAAAAAAUUGUAAAUAUUCAGUGUUAAGAAGUUCUUCUAGUCUAACAUUUAAUUACACAGGAUUCAAGUUUAUAUGUUAAGGAUCAGUUUGUGUCUUUGCAAAAAUGUGGAUAUUUUCAAAUAUAUUUCCAGAAACAACAAAUUGAAUCAAAGUUUUGAGGAACAACACAUGAAUCAAAUAGCACACCUAGAAUGGGAAUCUUUUCCUUUGGUGGAACAAGAACUCCAAAUGCACUUAUAGGUAAAACAUUUUCAGAAAAUUGGAGAUUAACUACAGCUAUUGAUACAGCAAACUUGAAAUAACCUGGGAAUACUUUUCAUUUUUUCCAUUUACAGUUAAUUCUACAUAAUCUUUGUUAAAUGUUAAUUUUUCACACGUAUGUUGCAUUUUUAUAUUUAUUCCGCGUUCAGUUAUAUUCUUAGCAAGUUUUUGAGGCAGUUGUUCAAAACCUCCUUCAAUUCCCCAUAUGCGCCAUACUUCUGUUUUAGCUCUUUGCACUAAUUGUGAA